GGAGAGGUGCGCGAGCGGUUGAAACGGCGUCCCUGGAAAGGACGUAUAUCCGAAAGGGUAUCGAGGGUUCGAAUCCCUCCCUCUCCGCCA
rnacentral:tRNA from 4 species